UUGUGAAACUACUCAAAUUCACACCGCCUUGCGGUUGAUGUUAUUUUCCUAAGCCAAUAUUAUCAGUUCCAGAGAAGAAAAAAUCGCACUCCUAAAUGGCCCUGCGCUUGUCUCUGUUUGCAUCGGGUUCCUUCCAGAGGCGACAGCCCAGCAAAGCAACAAUCUGGGAUUUUCCCAUCGCCAAGUGUAGUAACAGCAGCCAAUCGAAUCGCGCUUGAUUGUGCAAAAUCCCCUUCUACAUCCGCACCUAUUCUGCUGCUGCUGCUGCUUCAACUUCAGCAGCAACAUCAACAACAACAGGGAUUGACGUUAGUCCAUUCGCACGGUAUGUGGAGCCUAGCGGGAUGGCAAAAGAAAGACUGGUUAGCUUAAUGACAUUUUCACGAGGGAUGGAGAAUGAGACGAUUCUAAAUCAUUCGCUCCGAUCAGUACUUGAGGUAUUGGCGUAGCUUGAGGAUAGUGUGCUUUCCGGACGAGUUUCGUUUUGCUAAAGUUUAGUAGUGGCUUGAACUGGAUUGUUGAAUAUGAAUUAUCAUUCCCAGUUAAACGUCGCAUUUUAACGCCAUACCCUCUCUUAGAUCAUCACGUUGUUUUUGUCAUACGAUCGUUACAAUUCCUAGAACAUACUCCAUACUGCCGGUAGGUGCCCGGUUCAGUCCAGCUUACCGCAAAAGGAAAUCAUUCAUUCGCAAUUAUCAAUACUAGAACGAGUUUCUGUCGGCUACGACAAUUCAUUAACGCCUGUGGGACGUAAAAUCCAAAGCCGUUGACGAUUGCAGUUUGAUCAUGCGCUCGACAGGACAGUAACAGUUUGUUUAUCCGCCGUCUAAGUUUCUCUAGCGCAAUAUGAUGAUGCACGUCAACCCCUGCUGCAGGUUUCACGACCUAUCCUUCCGCACGGAUCGAUCAUCGAGCUGAUCGCCAUUCUCUUUUCUGUUCUCUU